CCCUUAGAUGUUCUGGGUCGCACGCGCGCUACACUGAUGAACGCAACGAGACCACCUGUACCGAAAGGCAUGGGUAAACUUGUGAAAGUUCAUCGUGAUGGGGAUAGAUUAUUGCAAUUAUUAAUCUUCAACGAGGAAUUCCUAGUAAGCGCGAGUCAUCAGCUCGCGUUGAUUACGUCCCUGCCCUUUGUACACACCGCCCGUCGCUCCUACCGAUUGAAUGGUCCGGUGAAAUCUUCGGAUUGCUGGAUAGGACUUCAUUGACCUAUCUGCGAGAAGUUGCUUGAACCUUAUCAUUUAGAGGAAGGAGAAGUCGUAACA
rnacentral:rRNA from 1 species